CAGGUACAGUUGCUGGGAAAGGCAUAUUGAGAAGAAGAAGAGUUUAAGUAAAGGUCCUGGGGCAGGGAAAGAGAGGUGCUGGUAGAACAUGCCACAGGCUGGCUGUGCAUUGUCACAUGACCAGUGCUUCUCCAAGUUUCAGUUGAGAAGGAGACAAUUCCCUUGGCCCCAGAGGAGUCCAGGAGCCUUUAGGGCCACCAAAGCCCAUCUUUAUUUUGGGUGUACCUUGAAGGCUCUGCUGUUGACCUUACCUGUACACUCAUGGUACCUCUGGUCCCUAAGAUGUUGCAGAAGGCAAAUCUGGCCCUUUGCCAGGCUCAAAGCCAGCCUGCUAGAUCCUCCUCUAUAACUGCAGAUCCCCGGGAUUGCUCUGACUCCUGAAUAAGCAUGGGCGGGAACCAGUGCCCCUGUGGGACUCCCCAUGGUGCCCAGUCUGUGCCCAGAAAAUAAAGUGGCAGGCAGUGACCCCUA
rnacentral:lncRNA from 1 species